rnacentral:tRNA from 1 species
GCCAGUGUGGCAUAGUGGUUUGAGUGUUGGACUACGAUCCUGGAGACCAGGGUUCGAUUCCCCACUCAACCA